UUACGGCCACAUCAUAUUGAAACAUCGAUACGCGUAGGAUCACCGAAGUUAAGCAACGUUGUGCCUGGUCAGGAUCUAGAUGAGUGACCACUUGGGAAUACCAGGUGCUGCAAG